rnacentral:rRNA from 1 species
GGCUCAGAGCGAACGUUUGCGGCGGGCCUAACACAUGCAAGUCGAACGCACUAGCAAUAGUGAGUGGCGCACGGGUGCGUAACACGUGGGUAAUCAACCCUUCAGCCUGGGAUAACGACUCGAAAGGGUCGCUAAUACCGGAUACGGCGCGAGAGGCUUCGGCUUCUCACGAGAAAGCCACGCAAGGGGCACUCGAGGAUGAGCCCGCGGCCCAUCAUGGUAGUUGGUAGGGUAAUGGCCUACCAAGCCGAAGACGGGUAGCUGGUCUUAGAGGAUGAUCAGCCACACUGGAACUGAGACACGGUCCAGACUCCUACGGGAGGCAGCAGUGGGGAAUCUUGCGCAAUGGGCGAAAGCCUGACGCAGCGACGCCGCGUGGGUGAUGAAGGCCUUCGGGUCGUAAAGCUCUGUGGGGAGAGACGAAUAAGACGUGGCUAAUAUCCACGGCGAUGACGGUAUCUCCUUAGCAAGCACCGGCUAACUCUGUG